CAGGACGAACGCUGGCGGCGUGCCUAACACAUGCAAGUCGAACGGAGAUAUGAUUUCGGUUGUAUCUUAGUGGCGAACGGGUGAGUAACGCGUGAGCAACCUGACUCUUAGAGGGGGAUAACACUCGGAAACGGGUGCUAAUACCGCAUAAGACCACGACAUGGCAUCAUGACGAGGUCAAAGGAGCAAUCCGCUGAGAGAGGGGCUCGCGUCCCAUUAGAUAGAUGGCGGGGUAACGGCCCACCAUGUCAACGAUGGGUAGCCGAGCUGAGAGGCUGAUCGGCCACACUGGAACUGAGACACGGUCCAGACUCCUACGGGAGGCAGCAGUGGGGAAUAUUGGGCAAUGGGCGCAAGCCUGACCCAGCAACGCCGCGUGAGGGAAGAAGGCUUUCGGGUUGUAAACCUCUGUCCUUGGUGACGAAAAAAAUGACGGUAGCCAAGGAGGAAGCCCCGGCUAACUACGUGCCAGCAGCCGCGGUAAUACGUAGGGGGCGAGCGUUGUCCGGAAUUACUGGGCGUAAAGGGUGCGUAGGUGGCCUUUUAAGUUGGAUGUGAAAUACCCGGGCUUAACUUGGGGGGUGCAUCUAAUACUGGAGGGCUAGAGUGCAGGAGAGGAAAGCGGAAUUCCUAGUGUAGCGGUGA
rnacentral:rRNA from 1 species